GCAAGUCGUACGAGAAAGUUCCUUCGGGGGCGAUUAAAGUGGCGCACGGGUGAGUAACGCGUAGGUUACAUACCUUGAGACGGGUGACAACAGAGAGAAAUUUCUGCUAAUACCGCAUAGUUAAGGAGAUUUUGGAAGAAUCCUUAUAAAGAUGGCCUCUCCUUGGAAGCUAUCGUCUCGAGAAUGGCCUGCGUACCAUUAGCUUGUUGGUGGGGUAAUGGCCUACCAAGGCAGUGAUGGUUAACCGGUCUGAGAGGAUGAUC
rnacentral:rRNA from 1 species